rnacentral:rRNA from 1 species
UACGAAGGGGGCUAGCGUUGCUCGGAAUCACUGGGCGUAAAGCGCACGUAGGCGGCUCUUUAAGUCAGGGGUGAAAUCCUGGAGCUCAACUCCAGAACUGCCUUUGAUACUGAGGAUCUCGAGUCCGGGAGAGGUGAGUGGAACUGCGAGUGUAGAGGUGAAAUUCGUAGAUAUUCGCAAGAACACCAGUGGCGAAGGCGGCUCACUGGCCCGGUACUGACGCUGAGGUGCGAAAGCGUGGGGAGCAAACAGG